UCGAGCGAGAAGCAUCUUCGGGUGUUAGUAAAGCGGCGAACGGGUGAGUAACACGUGGGUAACCUGCCCUGGAGACCGGGACAACCAUUCGAAAGGAUGGCUAAUACCGGAUAUCCUGCGGAAUCGUAUGGUUCCGUAGAAAAUGGUAGCUUAGGCUUCUGCUUCAGGAUGGACCCGCGGCCCAUUAGCUUGUUGGUAGGGUAAUGGCCUACCAAGGCAACGAUGGGUAGCCGGCCUGAGAGGGCGAUCGGCCACACUGGAACUGAGACACGGUCCAGACUCCUACGGGAGGCAGCAGUGGGGAAUCUUGCGCAAUGGGCGAAAGCCUGACGCAGCAACGCCGCGUGGGGGAAGAAGGCCUUCGGGUUGUAAACCUCUGUCGGGAGGGACGAAGCCACCUGCGUUAAUAGCGUAAGGGGUGACGGUACCUUCAAAGGAAGCCCCGGCUAACUACGUGCCAGCAGCCGCGGUAAUACGUAGGGGGCAAGCGUUGUCCGGAUUUAUUGGGCGUAAAGAGCGUGUAGGCGGCCUGUCAAGUCCGAUGUGAAAUCUUGCGGCUUAACCGCAAACCUGCAUUGGAAACUGUCAGGCUAGAGUCUGGAUGAGGAAGGUGGAAUUCCUGGUGUAGCGGUGAAAUGCGCAGAUAUCAGGAGGAACACCGGUGGCGAAGGCGGCCUUCUAGGACAGUACUGACGCUGAGACGCGAAAGCGUGGGGAGCAAACAGGAUUAGAUACCCUGGUAGUCCACGCUGUAAACGAUGGACACUAGGUGUUGGGGGUGUUGACUCCCUCAGUGCCGUAGCUAACGCAUUAAGUGUCCCGCCUGGGGAGUACG
rnacentral:rRNA from 1 species